CCCUUAGAUGUUCUGGGCCGCACGCGCGCUACAAUGAUGCAUUCAACGAGUUUAUAACCUUGGUUGAAAAGCCUGGGUAAUCUUUUGAACUUUCGUCGUGAUGGGGCUAGACCCUUGCAAUUAUUGGUCUCCAACGAGGAAUUCCUAGUAAACGCAAGUCAUCAGCUUGCAUUGAUUACGUCCCUGCCCUUUGUACACAUUGCCCGUCGCACCUACCGAUUGAAUGGUCCGGUGAAAUCUUCGGAUUGAGACUUUGUUUUCUUCACGGAAAACGCUGUUUUAAAAAGUUGAUUAAACCUUACCAUUUAGAGGAAGGUGAAGUCGUAACA
rnacentral:rRNA from 1 species